AACGAACGCUGGCGGCGCGCCUAAUACAUGCAAGUCGAACGAGAAGCUGUAGCAAUACAGUUGUACAGUGGCGAGCGGGUGAGGAAUACAUGGGUGACCUACCCUCGAGUGGGGAAUAACCAGCCGAAAGGUUGGCUAAUACCGCGUACGCUUCCCAGUCUACGGGUUGGGAAGGAAAGCGAUGCCGUGGGUAUCGCGCUCAAGGUUGGGCUCAUGUCCUAUCAGCUGGUGGUGGGGUAACGGCUCACCAAGGCAACGACGGGUAGCUGGUCUGAGAGGACGAUCAGCCACACUGGCACUGCGACACGGGCCAGACUCCUACGGGAGGCAGCAGUAAGGAUAUUGCGCAAUGGGCGAAAGCCU
rnacentral:rRNA from 1 species